CGACCCCAGGUCAGGCGGGAUCACCCGCUGAG
rnacentral:rRNA from 2 species